AACGAACGCUGGCGGCAUGCCUAACACAUGCAAGUCGAACGAAGCCUUCGGGCUUAGUGGCGCACGGGUGCGUAACACGUGGGAAUCUGCCCUUCGGUUCGGAACAACAGUUAGAAAUGACUGCUAAUACCGGAUAAUGACGUAAGUCCAAAGAUUUAUCGCCGAAGGAUGAGCCCGCGUAGGAUUAGGUAGUUGGUGGGGUAAUGGCUCACCAAGCCGACGAUCCUUAGCUGGUCUGAGAGGAUGAUCAGCCACACUGGGACUGAGACACGGCCCAGACUCCUACGGGAGGCAGCAGUGGGGAAUAUUGGACAAUGGGCGAAAGCUUGAUCCAGCAAUGCCGCGUGAGUGAUGAAGGCCUUAGGGCUGUAAAGCUCUUUUACCAGGGAUGAUAAUGACAGUACCUGGAGAAUAAGCUCCGGCUAACUCCGUGCCAGCCGCCGCCGUAAGAC
rnacentral:rRNA from 1 species